rfam:Capsicum annuum cultivar Zunla-1 chromosome 5, whole genome shotgun sequence
UAACGAUUGUGAGGGAAAUUUUAGAGCAUAACCUUGAAGCUUUCCCAAUAUUGCUAAAGAUUCUCUCCAUCUUUUUACUUGAAACUCAAAAUCUCACUUCUUAACCA